UGGGGAAUUGUGGACAAUGGGGUAAACCCUGAUCCAGCCAUCCCGCGUGUGCGAUGAAGGCCUUCGGGUUGUAAAGCACUUUUGGCAGGAAAGAAACGUCAUGGGUUAAUACCCCGUGAAACUGACGGUACCUGCAGAAUAAGCACCGGCUAACUACGUGCCAGCAGCCGCGGUAAUACGUAGGGUGCAAGCGUUAAUCGGAAUUACUGUGCGUAAAGCGUGCGCAGGCGGUUCGGAAAGAAAGAUGUGAAAUCCCAGAGCUCAACUUUGGAACUGCAUUUUUAACUACCGGGCUAGGGUGUGUCAGAGGGAGGUGGAAUUCCGCGUGUAGCAGUGAAAUGCGUAGAUAUGCGGAGGAACACCGAUGGCGAAGGCAGCCUCCUGGGAUAACACUGACGCUCAUGCACGAAAGCGUGGGGAGCAAACAGG
rnacentral:rRNA from 1 species